AUGGUUAUUGUGUGUAUACAGUGUGUAUCAAGACCAUCCCUUUUCAGCUAUGUCUUUUUCUCCUCUAUUUGUUCCUUCACCUCCAGACAUCCAGACAGGGACCCCGGCUCCCGGCUGCAUCUAUCCCAACUCCAUCGCACUAUGAGCAGCCUCAGGCCCGGCCACUGGCCACUGAUCCUGGUCCACAUGCUUCUGCUGCAAAUUCAGCCUGUUAAAGGGCUGUCAGUUGAUCCUGUGUCCCAGAAACUACGACGACUCAACGAGCAGUUCCAGCAGUUCCAGGCGCUGACCCAGGCUCGUUUGGACAUGUUGGCCCUGAACCAGAACAGAAACUCCUCGGGGGGGCUAGGGAGCCGUGUUCAGGCCUUGAGUGACCACUGGCACCACAUGUCAGAGGACCUUGAGCACCUCAAGCAGAGCACAACUCAAGAAAUAGAAGGUCUCAGGUUAGAGCUUGGGAACAAACACUAAAGGUCAACUGUAAAUAUAUGUGUGGGCUGAUAUAUGUUUGACAAAUCCCUGCUGAUUGUGUUUGGCAAGUAAAAGCAUCAUGGAAAGAGAAUAGACUGAACAAGAGGAGGAAGGGCAAUUUACUGUAGUCCAGCUCAGAAAAUUAUAGGAAUUAGAUCUUCAUAAAGAUAGAAAAAAGGAUAGAAUUUAAAGUCAUACUCAAACUUUAAAAAGGAUUUUUGAGUGGGUGGCUGGAAUUGAUGAUUAACAGGACAUAUUUUGGACAUCAUUGUCUGACUGGACACAUUUCUUCUUAUGCAACACAAGUAUACUAUAUUUUUAUAUCCAACCUAUAAUAUCUAUAAGAUCUUACCUGUUGACAUACAUUUAAAACCGUAUUUCAUUGCAGUUGGGCUGAAACAUGCUUUUUUUUUCGUGAUCAAUUGUGCUUUACAUCUGUCUUUGGGUUUUACAAAUAUUUAUCAAAGCCAACAUUAGUGACUUUGACAAUGCAGUGUUCAAAAUAUUUUAAAAACAUUUUACAGUUUUGGACAAAAUAUGAAUAAAAAUGAUGGUUCAUGGACCAUGAUGCAUUUAUUUUAUAAAUGAAAUAAUAGUUUUCUCAUGCUGUUACUAUCCCAGAGAGUGGAGUAGGAAGC
rnacentral:lncRNA from 15 species